CAGUCGCCGCGGGAAUACGAAGGGGGCUAGCGUUGUUCGGAUUAACUGGGCGUAAAGGGCGCGUAGGCGGGUUUUUAAGUCAGAGGUGAAAUCCCAAGGCUCAACCUUGGAACUGCCUUUGAUACUGGAAGUCUUGAGUCCGGGAGAGGUGAGUGGAACUGCGAGUGUAGAGGUGAAAUUCGUAGAUAUUCGCAAGAACACCAGUGGCGAAGGCGGCUCACUGGCCCGGUACUGACGCUGAGGCGCGAAAGCGUGGGGAGCAAACAGGAUUAGAUACCCCGGUAGUCCCUGUCUCUUAUAC
rnacentral:rRNA from 1 species